rnacentral:lncRNA from 1 species
AUGGCAGAACAGGCUGGAGGCUCCAGCAGGAGACAAGCCCCAGGGGGCUGGGCCGGCCCGGCGGCCACCGAGGCAGCUCUUCCCCGGUCGGGGCCGCCCCGCAACCCGGGCGUCGCGUCCCCCAAAGCCGGCCCCGUGCACGCUCCCGACGCCAAGCUCAGCGAUCCCGGAAAAGAGAAAAGCAGCAGCGGCGGGGGCACGAAGGUCCUUGCUCCCCGCUUCCCCGGGGUCGAGUGUACGGCUGCCCCCCCCACCCCAGGGCCCUGCAGUGGGCUCGCCCCCCCACCGCCACCCUGGGAGCCGGGGCUUGGAGGCCGGCGCCCCCUCGCGGCGCAAAUUCAGGGCCCGGGGCCAAGGCGGGGCGGGGGCGCGACACGCACCAAGGGCCCGGCCCGCCCCGCCCCACGGCGCCACCUGCCGCCGCCCGACCGCGCCCAGCCCGCAGGUGGAGCGCCUCCUCCCCGCCGCUCGGCUCCCCUUUUUCAAGGCACCGUCGCCUCCGGGUGCCUCUCCUCCGAGACCCCCCCCCGUUCCCUCCGAGAACCCCUCCCCUCCGAGGCCCCCCUCCCCCACCACGAGGCCCCCCUCGCCCCCCCGAGGCCCCUUCCCCCCAGACCCCAGACCCCCUCCCCUCCGGGGCCCCCUCCCCACCGAGGCCUCCCUCCCCUCCGAGGCCCCCUUCCCCCCCAGACCUCCUGCCCUCGGAGACCCCCAGGCCCCCUCCCCUCCGAGGCUCCCCCCACGCCCCGCCUGUCCCGAGCGUGCUUCCCUCCGGGCCGCCCACCCCCUCCCCGCCACCGCCUUUACUGGUCCCCGCCGGGGGCUCCGCGGCCCGGGAGCUCGGGAGGGGCCUCGCGCGGGGGUGCCAAGCACCCGGCCCAGCAGCCAGCAGGGGGCAGCCGGUCUCCGGAUUUGGGCCCUAAAGGCUCGGGUCCCUCCACCCUCGGCACACAAAGCCUUCCCGGAGAACCUGUUGGCCCUACCCAGGGGACCCAGUCGUCAGGAUGGAGCCCGGCCCCACGCGGGGCCUCAGCCCUGGGCAGCAUUCUCCUCCAGCCCUCCUACCUGCCACCUUGCACCUGCCUGGUGUGCCGCUCCACUAAUUGGUCUUCUAUGUGCUUAGGUCCCUUUCUGGGCAGAGUCAAGGAGAGGCAUCUGCCCAGGCCCCUGUUGUGUCUGGUCACCUGGACGUUAUGCACGCAAGGCCUGCUGCAGUUAGAGCAUCUGCUUCUUGCUGUUGUGUAA